UACGAGGGGGGCGAGCGUUGUUCGGAUUUACUGGGCGUAAAGCGCACGUAGGCGGAUUUUUAAGUCAGGGGUGAAAUCCCGGGGCUCAACCCCGGAACUGCCUUUGAUACUGGGAAUCUUGAGUUCGGGAGAGGUGAGUGGAAUUGCGAGUGUAGAGGUGAAAUUCGUAGAUAUUCGCAAGAACACCAGUGGCGAAGGCGGCUCACUGGCCCGAUACUGACGCUGAGGUGCGAAAGCGUGGGGAGCAAACAGG
rnacentral:rRNA from 1 species